UAUAAAGCUGAUCUAUUGUGGAGGAAAGAAGUGGAGCAAAAAAAAUUGUGAGAUUUCAGACACCGAUUUUUGAAUAAGAAAACGUCCAGACGACUUAGUGAUCAGAUUCCUGCUCUUUAAGAUAUGGUCAUGGAGAUCCGUGUGUUCGCCCUGGUUCUGCUGUUGGUGCUGAGUGCCGCACUGCCUGCUGAAGCCCAGACCUGGAGAUCGUUCAAAAGGAAGCAUGUUUACCUGAACAUGAACACGCCUUCAUGUACCCAGAAGAUUACAUAUGAGAACAUCAAUUAUGGUGGCACCUGCAAAUACAAGAACAGCUUCAUAAAGGCUACUGAUACUCAGGUCCAAGCUAUAUGUCAGAGAGGCGGCAGGCCUUUAGGCGGGAAUCUUUAUGAAAGCAUUGCAAGGUUCACUGUGGUCACGUGCACCACGAGAGACAUGACACCACCGUGUACAUAUUCUGGUAGUCAGGGCCUUAAAUACGUUACAGUAGCAUGUGAGCGGGGUUAUCCUGUGCAUUACCAAUCUGAAAGAAUUUAGAGGUUCAAGGUUUCCCUCAAGGUACCGAGUUAUAGUAGAACACCAUUAGUUUAAUGCUGAGUGAAAGAAAUGUCUUUUGUGGUCUAAUACAAAGCCACGUGUGAGCGCACAUGUACUCUAUGGAUAUGAAGAUUGUGGGUUAAUUGUACAAUAAAUACGUCACUGGAAUGUUUUAUGUGAAAAAAUGUUUCCUAUGGACUUUAUAAUCAAUGUCUCUGAUCCUCAUUAAAUGAAUUUUACACAUCA